UAAUACCUAAGCACAUCUAACUCAACCACCCUCUUUGCACCUUAGGAAACUAAGCCCAGAGAGGAUGAGGAAACUGAGGCCCAGAGGGGUGUCCAAGAUCUUACAGCUGGCAAGUGGCAGAUCCAGGGUCCAGUUUAGAUCUUCCUGACUCCAAACGCGCCCCUAUGAGGUUGCACCACUGACAUCUUUUUGCUGAUGAAGAGCCCGGGCCAGGGAUGCAGAGCCUGUGCUGAAGAUGACAGCUGGUGGCAGCCGAGAGGCCUGAGCAUUUCACCCCAAGAAGGAAGUCUCUUUAGCUCCCACGGUGUUGUUUGGGGCCCAGAUCUCAGCUGGGUGGAGAUUAGCUCGGCCAGCUCCUGAUGUUGGGAUGUGGUGCCGCCGUCAGAUGGACCCGGGGAGGCAGGCUCUCUUGCUCAGAGUUUCAGCUCACCCCCCGCACCACCCUCUGCACCGCCGCUUUCCCAUCUCUACUGUGGGAGGGUACAGCUUGAUCAUUUCGGCAGAGCCUUUCCAGCUCAGUGCUCUAGAAGGAAAUGAA